GCCUACGGGGCGCAGCAGUGGGGGAUAUUGCACAAUGGGGGAAACCCUGAUGCAGCGACGCCGCGUGAGUGAAGAAGUAUUUCGGUACGUAAAGCUCUAUCAGCAGGGAAGAAUAAUGACGGUACCUGACUAAGAAGCCCCGGCUAACUACGUGCCAGCAGCCGCGGUAAUACGUAGGGGGCAAGCGUUAUCCGGAAUUACUGGGUGUAAAGGGAGCGUAGACGGCUGUGCAAGUCUGGAGUGAAAGGCGGGGGCCCAACCCCCGGACUGCUCUGGAAACUGUAUGGCU
rnacentral:rRNA from 1 species